GACGAACGCUGGCGGCGUGCUUAACACAUGCAAGUCGAACGGAAAGGCCCUGCUUUUGUGGGGUGCUCGAGUGGCGAACGGGUGAGUAACACGUGAGUAACCUGCCCUUGACUUUGGGAUAACUUCAGGAAACUGGGGCUAAUACCGGAUAGGAGCUCCUGCUGCAUGGUGGGGGUUGGAAAGUUUCGGCGGGUGGGGAUGGACUCGCGGCUUAUCAGCUUGUUGGUGGGGUAGUGGCUUACCAAGGCUUUGACGGGUAGCCGGCCUGAGAGGGUGACCGGCCACCUUGGGACUGCGGUACGGACCAGACUCCUACGGGAGGCAGCAGUGGGGAAUAUUGCACAGUGGGCGGAAGCCUGAUGCAGCAACGCCGCGUGCGGGAUGACGGCCUUCGGGUUGUAAACCGCUUUCGCCUGUGACGAAGCGUGAGUGACGGUACUGGGUAAAGAAGCACCGGCUAACUACGUG
rnacentral:rRNA from 1 species